ACUCCUCCUUCCAACGUUGUUCGGACUCUCAUGCCGCUGGCCGCUGUCCGAGUCGACCAUGCUGUGUCAUCCCUCCAGCCCAUGCCGAGGCCUGGUUCUCUGUUAGGGAUGCCGUCCCCCUGCCAGUGCGCCUGGGGAGGCGGUCGCCCACCCCGCGGAGGGUCGGGACCCUCACCCUGCCCCGCAAAGCGCCCUGUUCCUAGGAUCGCAGUGUGUGUGUGUGUGUGUGUGUGUGUGUGUGCGCGCUAAUUUGGGGGACCCGCACCCUGCCCCCCUCACCCUGCCCCGCAAGGCGUCCUCCUGGCUGUGGUGGCGGGCACCUGAAAUCCAAGCUACUCAGGAGACUGAGGCAGGAGAAUUGCUUGAGCCCAGGAAGCAGAGGUUUCAGUGAGCCAAGAUCACACCAUUGCAAUCCAGCCUGGGCAACAGAAGCGAAACUCUGUCUCAAAAAUAAAUAAAUAAA
rnacentral:lncRNA from 1 species